CGACUCUUGACCUCUUAAUGGUGAAGCCGUACAAUGUCUACGUCACAGUUGCCUACCCGCCAGACACAGACACCCCUGGGCUAGCUGAAGAAAACAAAACAAAGCCUUUAGAGACUCGACUCAUUUCAGAGACCUCAUCUGUUUGCAAACCAGAACAGGUGGCCAAACAAAUUGUUAAAGAUGCCAUACAAGGAAAUUUUAACAGUUCCAUUGGCUCAGAUGGGUACAUGCUCUUGGCCCUGACCUGUGGGAUGGCUCCAGUAACUUCUAUUACUGAAGGGCUUCAGCAGGUGGUCACCAUGGGCCUUUUCCGCACCAUUGCUUUGUUCUACCUUGGAAGUUUCGAUAGCAUAGUUCGCCGCUGCAUGAUGCAGAGAGAAAAAUCUGAAAUCACAGAUAAAACUGCCUAAUUCCUCCCCCUUGGAAGAAGACUGUUUCCAAAUAAUUUGAACAUCUUGCUGCUAAAUGGGACCCAAUUUUUGGCCUAUAGACACUUAUGUAUUGUUUCUGAUUAUGUGAGAUUGGACCGGUGCUCUUCAGAAAUAUGGCUGCACGCAAGGAGAUAGAAGCUCAACUCCAGACAAUAUCAUUAAUACUAUGCAAAUAUGGAAUAGGAGACCAUUUGAUCUUCUGGGCUUUGAGAUGGAGAGGUGAUGGUAUGAGAACUAGUAGCAUGUGAAUAAGGUAAAGAACAGAAUUCCAGAAUGGUAAUUUAACAUUUUUUUUCUAAUUAUUUUUUACCCCCAUAGAGAUCUAGUCCAGAAAGGUACUUUAUGGCAGCAUAAGAAGUCUUGAGAAUUUUUGUAACCUUCCAUAAAAGGCAGUUUAUGGGUUUCUGGGACUUUUUUUUUUUUAAGUUGGUAUAUUUUAUUCAAGAUUAGUUUUACUCAUUGUCAGUGAGUCUGAAUGUCACUGACACCUGUGCUGCUGGUGGCAACUCAUGGCUUCUCUCUCUCUUUGAUCCCAUAAAGCCGCAUGGGGGAUGGGAGAGGGCAGUGCAGGUGGAAGGUAAUAAGGAGAUAGAUAUUUUCCAGCAGGAAAAGCAGUAUUUUCUUGUCUUCUUUAGGUUCGACUGCAUAGGGAACUUUUCAUUCUUCUCUCAUGGAGAAAGGCAGUCUCCUUAAAUGUUUUCUGAAGAGAAAUAAAAUCUUAGAAGCUUAAAAGUUUACAGUUUCCUCAAUAGCCAUGAUGACCUGAAGUUCACCUAUUCCAGUUUAGUGUCUACUUGUUCUUCCCAUCUUCCUUUCCAAUUUUGCUUACAUUGCUUUAAUAUUUUUGUAAAAAAAAAAAAAAGGACAGAAAAAAGACCAGCUAAAAUUUUUGACUUUUUAAAUUAAUUCAUGAAUUAAUUAAAACAAACAACAAAGAAAAAAGUGUGACAUUCUUUUCAUAGCGUAUAUGUAGCUUUUAUGAAAGGCUGAUGAUUGUAUAUUUAAAUUUUACUCAUUAAGAAAGAUGAGGCUGAUUUUGAAGAUACUCAUUUUUGAAAUGAAAUAAUCACCUGUUCUUUCUGU